rnacentral:lncRNA from 1 species
CUGCCUCCUGGUCCCCUCCUGUCUCCUGCUGGGAAGACUGUUCAGUUCUGAGAAAUCUAAGGGCAGGCCUAUGGUGCAGGAGCCAAGGGCCUGAAGGUGUAGGCACCUGCCUGGAGGAAGAGGCUGCGCUUGGAGCUUAGCUGGGAAAGUAUCCAACUCCCACAAGGACUCGGGGCCAACACUGAAAAACCUCAAGCUCACCAAAUCUCUCUCCCCUCUCCUGUCCCUUCCCUGUGUCUGUCCUUAAAAGAAGGCAGCAUGGCAUUCUGAGUAAUGAGGUAUUCAGGGAUGACUUCUGGGAGGAAAAACAACCCCCCCCCCCGCAUGAAUGAGGGGGAAGGGGCAAACGAAGUGACACAGGGUUUCCCGUUGACAGGAACAGGAAGGAGGCAAUAUACAGACAAGUGUAUAUUGUUGUAUAGCUUCAGGAAUUUGGCUGGGUCUGCUGGGAGGUCAUCACAGCUGGGUGUGUUGACUUUCCCUCACAGGGGGAGAGGGUAGGGGAGGUCAUGGGAGCUUCACCUGAGCAGUCAGCCUUGCCUCUCAGCCGGCUGUAUCCAGUUCUGCCCUAACAGAAGUCAAGGAUGAGAGGAGGGGUUCUAUCUAUGCAGCAGAGGGAAAGCCGACAUCCCCGCUGGAUACAGGCUUUCCGGCAUGGCUACUUUAAGGUUAUCCACGCUCAUGUCUAUAACCCCUCACCCAAUGCUCUGUGUGGUGGAUUGAAAGAAAAGGGCCCGCAUAGGUUCAUAGGAGUGGUGCUAUUAGGAGGUGUGGUCUUGGUGGAAGAAGUGUGUGUGUAUGUAAAGGGCUUUGAGAUCUCAGAUGUUCAAGCUAGGUCCAGUGUGAUUCUCUUCCUGCCACCUGGCGAUCCAGAUGUAAACUCUCAGCCCCCUUCUCCAGCACCAGGUCUGCCUGCAAGCUACCAUGCUUCCUCCCAUGCCAGCAAUAGACUGAACCUCUGAACCCAUAAGCCAGCCUCAAUG